GAAGAAAGGAAGAAAGGAAGAAAGAAGGAUGAAGAAGGAGGAGGAGGAGGAGGAGGAGGAGAAGAAGAUAAAAGCUGAUAUCUAUUAUCUCAAAGACUCUGUUGUUCUGUAUCGCUAGCCUAGUAUAUAUACUAGAUUGUUAACUACACAACUGGCCAUAUUGUGCAUUUUUUGUUCACCAGUAUAACCCCAUAGCUUCAUACAGGGCCUGGGACACAUGAUAGAUAGAAUCACUGAUUUUCAUAAAGAAUGAGUCCAUGCAAUUUGCUCUAUCCAUUGAAAUAUUGCCUCAAAUUCCUCACGGUUAAAACUGACUUCACACUUUUUGACCCAUAAUAUCUGGUAUGAUUUGAACAUGAUUUGAGUGUAUCCCCCAAGGGUUUCUGUGUUAAAAUUUAAUCCCAACUGUGAGGUAUUAAGAUGGCAAAAGCUUAAUCUGACUUUGGUAUUUAAUUGUGGGGCCUUUAGGAGGUAAUUAGAAUUAAAUAAGGUCAUUAGAGUAGACAACCCAUGUUGUUAAUUUUACAAGAAAAAAAAGAGACAACAUGCAUACUCCCUGUCUCUUACUAUGUGAUGCUCUCACAGUCUAAGUACUCUACUAAAAAAAGACCAUCACAAGAUGCAGACCAUUGAACCUCUUUUCUUUAUAAAGUUACCUAGCUGCAGGUAUUUUAUUAUAAUAACAUAAAAUGGACUAAUCUCAUAUCACUCCUAGAAAGCUCAGUAAUACAAAAAUAUAUAUGCACAAGGUUAUUAAUUGUAGUAUUAUUUAUAAUUUUAAAAUAAUUUAAAACUACCUAAAUGUCAAAUCAUAGAUGGAUGAAUAAGCUAUGAAAUAUACCUACUAUACAGUAGUUAUACAAUUAUAGAAAUAAAAAUAUAACUGUGAAAUUAUAUGCCAUGACUUGCAAGAGAUAUUAAGCAUAACAAAUAGCAUAUAGAGCAUAAGAACCAGGGAUCUCAUGAUGGAAGAAGAAUACAAUUAUGGAAAGAUAAUGCAAAACCAAAACAAAACCAAUAAGUAUAGACUGGAAAGGGAGGUAUGAAGGAAUACUAUCUAAAUUAUGCAUGUAUAUAACAUAUAUAUACACACACACACACGGAUGCAUGUGUAUAUAUACAUUCACAGACCGGUCUCUGGUGAAAAGGUCUAUAGAAACCCCAGUCUCAAAGAGCUUACUAGGUCCACUCAAAGGAAUGAGAAUUCCUUGGAGAAAUAGUUGAUUUCAUGGGUGGGGGUACAAAAUGAUCCUGGUAUAGUAAGAAGGUUAAAAAUAAAUAAAUAAAGGAUGAAGUCACAAGGGAACAGAAAUCAUUUGGUAAUGCUACUACUGGUGACUUCUGGGAUCACUUGGAAUCCAAAUAAACAAGUACAUAAAUGAAUUACAAACCUCUGAAAACAAGAAUGUCAUUAGUCCAUGAUAGAUAGAUAGAUAGAUACGUAGAUAGAUUAAAAAAAAUUAAACAACAUUUGAUUAUGGUAGAAAAUUAAUGCUGACUAGUUACCAUGGAGAAAAUACUGAAGUUAGAAAAUUAUCAUUUUGCAACUAUCUAGUCAAAGGUUAGAUUGUGCAAAAUCAUGAUAAAUACUAUAUACAGGAAAAAUUUUUAUGAAAAUGGAAAUUUUUCAUGAUUUUAAAAUAUAUCCUGAUUAAUUUUGAGGGAGGAAAAAAGUAACAUAGUGAAGAAGUUGGAUAAAACCUUCAAAAGGUGCAUAACAAUUAACACUGCAAUGAAGGAUAUGUGAACACCCUGUGGUCUUCAGUUAUCAUGCAUGUUCUCUUUAGCAGUUCAAUAAAAAUGCAUAACCUGAAUCUAAUUAUGAGGAAACAUAACAUCAGGUAAAUACAAAUGAGUGGUAUGAGCUCUUCUAUAUCCAUAGUAUGAAAAAAUAAGAGAACAAAAUAAAAUGUUAAGAAUGGUUGAAUUUGGGUAAAAAGCAUCUAGGACUUUCUUUGUAAUGUUUUUACUAUAAGUUUGAAAUUAUUUCUAUAAAAAAUAUUUUUAAAAAAGUAAUGCAUGAAUAUAUGUCCUUUGAAGAAGAAAAAAAUCAAACAGGAAGAUGUAAAUGGAAAAUAAAAUGAAUUAUCAACCUCCCAAUGUUAUCUUUUCCCCACUAGAAGCUAAACUUCACAAAGUCAAGAUUUUUUUUUCCUGUUUUUUGCUCAAAUACAUCCCAAGCACCCACACUGGUGCUUGGCACCUGAACAGCUCCUACAAUAUUCAUUUACUGGAGAGAUGAAUGAGUAGAUACAAGUUAUGAUUGUUACGGUUUGAAUAUGAGGUGUCCCCCAAAAGUUCACACGUGAGACAAUGCAAGAGAGUUCAGAAGGUAAAUGAUUGGGUUAUAAGAGUCUUAACCCAAUAGCGAAUUAAUUGCCUGAUGGGAUUAACUGAGUAGUAACUGAAAGCAGGGUGUACCUGGAGGAGGUAAGGCAGUAAGGGUGUGGUUUUGGGGUCUAUAUUUGUAUCUGGCGAGUAGAGAACUAUUUCUCUGUUUUCUGAUCACCAUGUGAACUGCUUCCCUCUGCCACACACUUGCACCAUGAUCUUCUGCUUCCUCUUAAGCUCCAAGGAAUGGAGCCGGCCUGCUACACCAACUAAGACCUCUGAAACUGUGAGCCCUCAAAUAACCUUUUUCUCCUCUACAGUUGUUUUGGUCAGAUCUUUUAGUCACAGUGGCAAAAAAAAAAAAAAAAAACUGACUAAAACAACUAUUUUCCUCCUCCUUACUUUACGUAGAUCUGUAUACUAAAAUUAUUUAUUUAUGAAAUAAAUUUGGUCAGACUACUAAAAAGCUCACGAAGACUUCAUUAUUGCUUUUUCCUUAGUAUUUCUUCUCCUUUGCCAUGAAAACAGAAUACCUAGAUCCCACUGAUAAUACAUUCCAAAGCCCCUUGAAUAAUUCAAGUCACUCCAUGUAUUUGCACCCUUUAAAUGGUCUUCUUUCUUAUCCUCUUACUCCUUACCCUGUUCUCCUCCAACCCAACAGAGAAAUCUUUAUAACAUAACUUUUUUUUCCUAUGUCUUCAGAUUUUCAGAAUGAAUUUUCAUCACCUGUAGAAUAAUUGAUGAGAAGCAUGAAUAGCAUGCAUUACAAGUGUUUCAAGAUAUGUUUUCUUAGCUGGGUGCAGUGGCAUAUGCUUGUAAUCCCAAUGACUUGGGAGGCUAACACAAGAGAAUCAUAAAUUUAAAGCCAGCCUCAAUGACUUAGUGAGGCUGAGAGGCCCUAAGCAACUUAGACUCUGUCUCAAAAUAAAAAGAGCUAGGGAUGGUAGUUCAAUGGUUAAGUGCUCCCCCACACCCCCGCCCUCCACCAAAAAGAUAUGUCUCAUUUUCUCUUUCUUCAUCUCUACUGAGAUAUAGUUGACAAAUAAAAAUUGUUAACAUUAAUAGGUAUACUUAGAUGUUUUGAUAUACAUGCAGUAUGUGAAACAAUCACAAACAAGCUAAAAACAUUUUCACCUCAAAUAACUACCAUUUAUUUUUCUGGUGAGAACAAUAAAGAUUUACCCUCAUAGCAAAUGUCAAGUAUACAAUGUACUCUCAUUAACUGUAUUAAUAAUAUAUAAUAAUAAUAAUUAAUAAUAAUAUAUAAUACUCUACUGUCUUUUACCCACUUUUGAAUCAGGUUAUUUGUUCUGUUUUAUUUUGCUAUUGAGUUACAUAGCUUCUAUAUAAAUAUUAGAUAUUAAAGCCUCUCUCCGUGUGUAUGUGUGUGUGUGUUUAUGGAGAGAGAUACAGAGAGAGAAAGAGAGAGAGAGAGAGAGAGAGAGAGAGAGAGAGAGAGAGAGAGAGAAAGAGAGAUCCUGACACAAAAAUACAAAUACUACAUGAUCUAUCUGUAUAUACAGAGAGAUACAAUAUGUAGUAUGUAAGAAGUAUACAUAGUUUGUAUACAUCCAAAUAUCUAAAAUCCAAAUCUUCAGGCAAAAAUUCCAAAGUCCAAAAAUCUCUGAGAUCUGAAACAAACAUCUUAUAUAAGGGAUAUUAAAAGGGAUAUUAAAAACAGAAGUUCAUUGGAUUAGACAAAGGGGAAUGAAGGAAAUGGAGGGGGAAUGGGCAUAAGAAAGAUACUAGAAUGAAUCAGAC
rnacentral:lncRNA from 1 species